rnacentral:misc_RNA from 1 species
UACGGAGGGUGCAAGCAUUAAUCGGAUUUAUUGGGCGUAAAGGGCGCGUAGGCGGCCAUGAAAGUCAGUUGUGAAAUUCUGGGGCUCAACCCCAGAGCUGCAACUGAAACUUCAUAGCUAGAGGAUAGGCGGAGGAAACGGAAUUCAACGUGUAGCGGUGAAAUGCGUAGAUAUGUGGAAGAACACCGGUGGCGAAGGCGGUUUCCUAGCUUAUUCCUGACGCUGAGGCGCGAAAGCAAGGGUAGCGAACAGG